GGGAAUAAAGUAUGGAUUAGAACUUGGUACCUUCCUGCCACAUUUAUUCACGGUGGUUACUAUACUUACUUUUAUGGAAGCAAGAUUAAUUCGAUUUGAUGUAAAAGCGCUUAUACCGACUUCUUGUCAAAGAAUGAUUUUAUUUCUUCGGAAAUAAAAAUUGCACGACAAAGAUGAAUAAAUUGAUUCAUGAACGUUUUCUUUCAAGUGUUAUUUGUAGAAACCACAAGUACAUAUAUGUAUAAUUUGUUACAGAAUGAAACAAUAACUUUGAAAUUUUGUAUAUCUUUUAUUUUACAUUGAUUAUUCACUGAAUCUGCGGGGUUUUAUAUUUAUGAGGAACGAUCAAUUCUAUGUGUAAAAUAUCAAUAAGAUACAUGUAAAUCAAAUUAACACUUAAUUUACAUUUCGAAACAAUUUAUAAAUAGACAAAAGAAAAGAAAAUAGUGACCGACUCAAAAUAUAAAGUGGAAAAACGAAUGCUAAUAUAAAAAGAUAUUGUGUAAUUGAUAUGAAAAUUUGUGUGAAAAAGUG
rnacentral:misc_RNA from 1 species